CGGCCGCGGUAUCCUGACCGUGCAAAGGUAGCAUAAUCACUUGUUCCCUAAUUAGGGACUAGAAUGAAUGGCCAAACGAGGAUUCAACUGUCUCUUAUUUUUUANUCAGUGAAAUUGACCUUUCAGUGAAGAGGCUGAAAUACUAAAAUAAGACGAGAAGACCCUAUGGAGCUUAAAUUAAAAGUUUAAUUUUACUCUUAUUAACCUAAUGGUUUAACACAAAAAUUUUAAACUCUAAAUUUCGGUUGGGGUGACCUCGGAGAACAAAAAAUCCUCCGAAUGAUUCUAACAUAGACCAACAAGUCAAAGUAACCCAAAGAUCUUAUUGACCCAAAAAUUUUUUGAUCAACGGACCAAGUUACCCUAGGGAUAACAGCGCAAUCCUAUUUUAGAGUCCAUAUCGACAAUAGGGUUUACGACCUCGAUGUUGGAUCAGGACAUCCCAAUGGCGCA
rnacentral:rRNA from 1 species